rnacentral:rRNA from 1 species
GACGAACGCUGGCGGCGUGCUUAACACAUGCAAGUCGAACGGAAAGGCCCUGCUUUUGUGGGGUGCUCGAGUGGCGAACGGGUGAGUAACACGUGAGUAACCUGCCCUUGACUUUGGGAUAACUUCAGGAAACUGGGGCUAAUACCGGAUAGGAGCUCCUGCUGCAUGGUGGGGGUUGGAGAGUUUCGGCGGUGGGGGAUGGACUCGCGGCUUAUCAGCUUGUUGGGGGGGUAGUGGCUUACCAAGGCUUUGACGGGUAGCCGGCCUGAGAGGGUGACCGGCCAAAUGGGGACUGGGAUCGGGCCCAGACUCCUACGGGAGGAAGCAGGGGGGAAAAUUGCACAAGGGGCGGAAGCCGGAGGCAGCAACGCCGCGUGCGGGAUGACGGCCUUCGGGUGUUAAACCGUUUUCGCCUGUGACGAAGCGUGAGUGACGGUAAUGGGUAAAGAAGCACCGGCUAACUACGUG